GGAAAUGGGCACUCAGAGUUAGGGAGUCUGAUACAGAAGAGAGGAGGCUGUUGAUUCCAGAGAAACUGAGGCUUUGGAAAUCAAGGAGAACUUCAUAGCAGGCAAAACUACGAUGGUCAGCACUGUGGUCAAUCCAGAAGUCAUCUGGAAACUGGAUGUCCUACCUUGCCAGUGGCCUGAGGUUCAACUGCAUCUCUACAAAUGACCCAAAUCCAGGUUGGCAGGUGACCUCUUGUCAACCUAUCCCAUUCCGAGACCAACUUAUCCUAGCUCAGGAAUCUUACAGUUAGAAUAUUGAAUGAAAAUAGGUCAAAGUCUCUACAAUUGACCAGCUCCACCUUGGCUGCAACACCACCACACUCUUCUGAAGAAGAUGAAAAAAAGGACUGCACAGAAAGACUGCAUUUCUACAGCCUCCCUUGCAGUUAGGUUGGAGCAAAUGGAACUGGGUUCUGAGUAAAGGAAUCAGGGAAGUACCUGCCCAUACAGCUUUACCCUUUCCUUGUGGUAACUUCUGGGGCCAUUUGUUUCCCAUGUCCCUCUAUGGAAAAUUCCUGGAUCCCUGAGUCACCAUGUAGAGGAAGGCUGCCGAGGAAAGCACGGAGCACGAAUUACACCUGUGAAAGAUCAACAUUUGUUGUGUUAAGUUAAAUACACUCAGAGGUGUAUUUGCUGCUGUCAGAACUAAUACACAACUCAAGAAUGAGUAUGUUAAAUACCAUAUGAUGUAACUUACAUGCGAAAUAAAGUAUGACACAAGUGGAUCUGUGAAACAAACAAAAUCACACAGAGAACAGUCUUGUAGCUGCCAAGGGGAGGGAAGUAUUGGGAUUAGCAGAUACAAACCAUUAUGUAUAAAUAUAUAUGUUUUCACAGAGUGGAUAAACAAGGUCCUCCUGAAUAGCACAGGGAACUAUUUCAGUAUGCUGUGAUAAACCAUGAUGGAGAAGAAUAUAUGUGUAACUGAGUCACUUUUCUGAAUAGCAGAAAUCAACACAACAAUGUACAUCAACUAUACUCCAAUAAAAAUUUUUUUAAAUGAAUGAAUGUCAUAAUGUCUGUACACAUCUUGGGCAAAAGAUCAGUGAUGCAGGAACUAGACCCAAAGAGGAAG
ensembl:lncRNA